GACAGAGGGGGCGAGCGUUGUCCGGAGUUACUGGGUGUAAAGGGCGCGCAGGCGGCAGUCUAAGUGAUGGGUGAAAGCCCACGGCUCAACCGGGGGAUGGCAUGGCAUACUGGAUAGCUUGAGUUGGGGUGAGGCCGCUAGAAUUGGUGGCGUAGCGGUGAAAUGCAUAGAGAUCGCCAGGAAGACCGAGGGGGAAGGCAGGGUGCUGGCCGCAGACUGACGCUGAGGCGCGACAGCGUGGGGAUCAAACCGG
rnacentral:rRNA from 1 species